AGUCGAGCGGAUCUUCAUUAGCUUGCUUUUGAAGAUCAGCGGCGGACGGGUGAGUAACACGUGGGCAACCUGCCUGUAAGACUGGGAUAACUUCGGGAAACCGGAGCUAAUACCGGAUAAUCCUUUCCCUCACAUGAGGGAAAGCUGAAAGACGGUUUCGGCUGUCACUUACAGAUGGGCCCGCGGCGCAUUAGCUAGUUGGUGAGGUAACGGCUCACCAAGGCAACGAUGCGUAGCCGACCUGAGAGGGUGAUCGGCCACACUGGGACUGAGACACGGCCCAGACUCCUACGGGAGGCAGCAGUAGGGAAUCUUCCGCAAUGGACGAAAGUCUGACGGAGCAACGCCGCGUGAGCGAUGAAGGCCUUCGGGUCGUAAAGCUCUGUUGUCAGGGAAGAACAAGUACCGGAGUAACUGCCGGUACCUUGACGGUACCUGACCAGAAAGCCACGGCUAACUACGUGCCAGCAGCCGCGGUAAUACGUAGGUGGCAAGCGUUGUCCGGAAUUAUUGGGCGUAAAGCGCGCGCAGGCGGUUCCUUAAGUCUGAUGUGAAAGCCCCCGGCUCAACCGGGGAGGGUCAUUGGAAACUGGGGAACUUGAGUGCAGAAGAGGAGAGCGGAAUUCCACGUGUAGCGGUGAAAUGCGUAGAGAUGUGGAGGAACACCAGUGGCGAAGGCGGCUCUCUGGUCUGUAACUGACGCUGAGGCGCGAAAGCGUGGGGAGCGAACAGGAUUAGAUACCCUGGUAGUCCACGCCGUAAACGAUGAGUGCUAAGUGUUAGAGGGUUUCCGCCCUUUAGUGCUGCAGCAAACGCAUUAAGCACUCCGCCUGGGGAGUACGGCCGCAAGGCUGAAACUCAAAGGAAUUGACGGGGGCCCGCACAAGCGGUGGAGCAUGUGGUUUAAUUCGAAGCAACGCGAAGAACCUUACCAGGUCUUGACAUCCUCUGACAACCCUAGAGAUAGGGCUUUCCCCUUC
rnacentral:rRNA from 2 species